rnacentral:rRNA from 1 species
CGUAGGUGGCGAGCGUUGUCCGGAUUUAUUGGGUUUAAAGGGUGCGUAGGCGGUCCUAUAAGUCAGUGGUGAAAUAUCGCAGCUUAACUGUGAGGGUGCCAUUGAUACUGUAGGACUUGAGUGAAUUUGAGGUAGGCGGAAUUGACGGUGUAGCGGUGAAAUGCUUAGAUAUCGUCAAGAACACCGAUAGUGAAGACAGCUUACCAAGCUUCAACUGACGCUGAGGCACGAAAGUGUGGGGAUCAAACAGGAUUAGAUACCCUGGUAGUCCACACUGUAAACGUUGAUUACUCGCUGUUGGCGAUACACAGCCAGCGGCUAAGCGCAAGCGAUAAGUAAUCCACCUGGGGAGUACGCCGGCAACGGUG